GCAUGUGUCCAGUGGUUAUAUUCAUGAGGCAUUCAAGGGUCUUGUACUAAAAGAUACAACUCAGUUCAGUAUGAAUUGCAUAUUUUAAUGGCUGAAAAUAUAUCUGAUCUCUUUCAGAACAUCACCUGUCUGUAAUCCACCUGCGUAAGUUCUGGUCAAGGGGCUCAUCGGCUAUCAAGUUAUAGAUUUCAGUGGCUAAUAGAAGACACUGCUGAGGUCAGAUGAGAGUGCAUCCUCAAAGGUCUGUGUGUACCUAAAUGAAGAUCCAGAGAAGCUGGUGAGGGAGUACAUGGACGUUGAUGAAUGUGCAGAAAUGGCCAAAGCCGAGACUGUCCUCGGAAUCGUCAUUUGAGCAGAGGGUGCAGAGGCUGCCGAUGCACAUCUGGAUGUUGGGAUUGUCUUGGAGGAGGUGGAAGUUAUGAACAGCUUGGGCAGUGUAUCUUCUGCAAUAGUGAUGCUGCUGGAACUAAUCUACGCACUAAACUUGAGCUACCCUCAAGUUUAGUGCGUUCAGCACUCAACUUGCUCAGUAACUCAAGCAUACCUUUGAAGUAAUACAGAAAAUAAUAAUGAAAUUGGAUGGAAAGAACUUAUCAAAGAAAGCACAAGUUCUCAAUAUGAAACUCGCCGCUAAGUUGAGUAAAGUUUCAUAUGGAAAAUGAGUGUUUAAAGUCUGCAGUAGAAAAGAUUUAUUUGUUACAGUUCUCUAAGUUGAGCAACUAUAAUGACAUGUUUUAUGUUGUAAAGAAUUGGCUGGGAAAUGAAACUGUAACCUUUUUGUAGUUGUUUUUUUUAUUUCAAUGUCCAACUCAGCUGUUUUGUGCUGUGUAAAA